rnacentral:rRNA from 1 species
CCAGGCUUGAACUGCAGAUGACAUCCUACGAAAGUAGGCUUCCGCAAGGACAUCUGUAGAGGUGCUGCAUGGCUGUCGUCAGCUCGUGUCGUGAGAUGUUGGGUUAAGUCCCGCAACGAGCGCAACCCUUGUCUUCUGUUGCCAUCGGGUUAUGCCGGGCACUCUGAAGAGACUGCCGGUGACAAACCGGAGGAAGGUGGGGAUGACGUCAAGUCAGCAUGGCCUUUAUGUCUGGGGCCACACACGUGCUACAAUGGCCGGUACAAACCGUCGCGAUCUCGCGAGAGGGAGCUAAUCGGAGAAAGCCGGUCUCAGUUCGGAUUGUAGGCUGCAACUCGCCUGCAUGAAGUUGGAAUCGCUAGUAAUCGCGGAUCAGCACGCCGCGGUGAAUACGUUCCCGGGCCUUGUAUACACCGCCCGUCACAUCACGAAAGCCGGCUGUACUAGAAGUCGCUGCGCUAACCCGCAAGGGGGGCAAGCGCCUAAGGUAUGGUCGGUGAUUGGGGUG